rnacentral:rRNA from 1 species
UACGUAGGGUGCUAGCGUUGUCCGGAAUCAUUGGGCGUAAAGAGCGUGUAGGCGGCCCGGUAAGUCCGCUGUAAAAGUCAAAGGCUCAACCUUUGAAUGUCAGUGGAUACUGCCGGGCUAGAGUCCGGAAGAGGCGAGUGGAACUCCUGGUGUAGCGGUGUAAUGCGCAGAUAUCAGGAAGAACACCAACGGCGAAGGCAGCUCGCUGGGACGGUACUGACGCUGAGACGCGAAAGCCAGGGGAGCAAACGGG